rnacentral:rRNA from 1 species
AUUGAACGCUGGCGGCAUGCCUUACACAUGCAAGUCGAACGGCAGCGGGGGAGAAGCUUGCUUUUCCUGCCGGCGAGUGGCGAACGGGUGAGUAAUACAUCGGAACGUGCCCUGUAGUGGGGGAUAACUAGUCGAAAGAUUAGCUAAUACCGCAUACGACCUGAGGGUGAAAGUGGGGGACCGCAAGGCCGCAUGCUAUAGGAGCGGCCGAUGUCUGAUUAGCUAGUUGGUGGGGUAAAGGCCUACCAAGGCGACGAUCAGUAGCUGGUCUGAGAGGACGACCAGCCACACUGGGACUGAGACACGGCCCAGACUCCUACGGGAGGCAGCAGUGGGGAAUUUUGGACAAUGGGCGAAAGCCUGAUCCAGCAAUGCCGCGUGUGUGAAGAAGGCCUUCGGGUUGUAAAGCACUUUUGUCCGGAAAGAAAUGGCUCUGGUUAAUACCUGGGGUCGAUGACGGUACCGGAAGAAUAAGGACCGGCUAACUACGUGCCAGCCGCCGCGGUAA